rnacentral:rRNA from 1 species
GUGCCAGCAGCCGCGGUACUACCGGCAGCCCGAGUGAUGGCCGAUAUUAUUGGGCCUAAAGCGUCCGUAGCUGGCUGCGCAAGUCCGUCGGGAAAUCCACUCGCCCAACGAGUGGGCGUCCGGCGGAAACUGUGUGGCUUGGAACCGGAAGGCUCAGAGGGUACGUCCGGGGUAGGAGUGAAAUCCCGUAAUCCCGGACGGACCACCGAUGGCGAAAGCACUUCGAGAAAACGGAUCCGACAGUGAGGGACGAAAGCCAGGGUCUCCAACCGGAUUAGAAACCCCGGUAGUCU